rnacentral:rRNA from 1 species
GACGAACGCUGGCGGCGCGCUUAACACAUGCAAGUCGAGCGAGAACCAGUCCUUCGGGACUGGGGAAAGCGGCGAACGGGUGAGUAACACGUGAGUAAUCCACCCUCGGUACCGGAAUAGCCCGGGGAAACCCGGAUUAAUGCCGGAUAGCCCAUUUCCUUUUCGGAGGAACUGGAAAAGAUAGCUUCGGCCUUCGACCGAGGACGAGCUCGCGGCGGAUUAGCUUGUUGGCGGGGUAAUGGCCCACCAAGGCGACGAUCCGUAGCUGGUCUGAGAGGACGAUCAGCCACACUGGGACUGAGACACGGCCCAGACUCCUACGGGAGGCAGCAGUGGGGAAUCUUGCGCAAUGGGCGAAAGCCUGGCGCAGCGACGCCGCGUGCGGGAAGAAGGCCUUCGGGUUGUAAACCGCUUUCAGGAGGGACGAAGCCACUCGGGUGAAUAGCCCAGAGGGUGACGGUACCUCCAGAAGAAGCCCCGGCUAACUACGUGCCAGCCGCCGCGGUAAUAC